GGGGAAGUAGCUCAGUAAUAGAGCACUGCCCUUCCAUGAGUGAGGCCCUGGGUUUGAGCCCCGGCAUCUCCA
rnacentral:tRNA from 1 species